CAUGAUUUAGCCAGUACCCUCAAGCAAAGAGACCUUUAGUUUGAUACCCCGAAACCAGGUGAGCUACCCCGAGACAGCCUAUGUUAAUUUAGGGCUAACCCGUCUCUGUGGCAAAAGAGUGGGAAGAGCUCCGGGUAGAAGUGAAAGACCUACCGAACCUGGUGAUAGCUGGUUGACUGAGAAAUGGAUAGAAGUUCAGCCUCGCACACCCCAAGCCGAAGAAUAUUAUCACCAAGAUACUUAGGGAAACGUACGAGAGUUAGUUGAAAGGGGUACAGCCCUUUUAACAAAGGAUACAACCUUAACAGGAGGAUAAAGAUCAUAAUAUAUAAAAUAUGCUGUUCUAGUGGGCCUGAAAGCAGCCACCUAAACAGAAAGCGUUAAAGCUCGGACAGAAAGGAGUUUAUUAUACGGAUAAAAAAUCUUAUUCCCCUAAUUAUAUCAGACCAACCCAUGCCCACAUGGAAGAGAUUAUGCUAAAAUGAGUAAUAAGAAGACCCGCUCUUCUCCCAGCACAAGUGUAAACCAGAUCGGACAAACCACUGGAACUUAACGAACCCAACCCAAGAGGGUACUGUGAUUAACAAAAAAUUCAAGAAGACCUCACAUUAACUAAUCGUUAACCCCACACUGGAGUGCUAUUUUUAAGGGAAAGACUAAAAGAAAGGGAAGGAACUCGGCAAACACAAGCCUCGCCUGUUUACCAAAAACAUCGCCUCCUGCAACUAAGCUGAGUAUAGGAGGUCCAGCCUGCCCAGUGACUACGGGUUCAACGGCCGCGGUAUCUUGACCGUGCAAAGGUAGCGCAAUCACUUGUCUCUUAAAUAGAGACCUGUAUGAAUGGCUAGACGAGGGCUUAACUGUCUCCCCCUUCCAGUCAGUGAAAUUGAUCUAUCCGUGCAGAAGCGGGUAUAAAAAUACAAGACGAGAAGACCCUUUGGAGCUUAAGGUACAAGAUUUAACCACGUUAAACAACUCUAUAAAAAGUAAGAACUUAGUGAUAAUGAAAUUUUACCUUCGGUUGGGGCGACCACGGAGGAAAGACGAGCCUCCGAGUGGACUGGGCCAAACCCCUGAAGCCAAUAGAGACAUCUAUAGGCCGCAGAACAUCUGACCAAAAAUGAUCCGGCUAAAAGGCCGAUCAACGGACCAAGUUACCCAAGGGAUAACAGCGCAAUCCCCUCCCAGAGCCCAUAUCUACGAGGGGGUUUACGACCUCGAUGUUGGAUCAGGACAUCCUAAUGGUGCAGCCGCUAUUAAGGGUUCGUUUGUUCAACGAUUAAAGUCC
rnacentral:rRNA from 1 species